rnacentral:lncRNA from 1 species
GUAGGGGUAGGGGAGGGAAUGGGGGCUUAUGGACAGGAAACUGGGAAGGGGAAUGAAAUGUAAGUAAAGAAAUAUAUAAUAAAAAAUUAAAAAAAGAAAGAAAAUAAAUGGCUUAUCCAUCUGAACAGAAUUUUCAAAAGGAGAAAUAAAAAUGGCUAAGAAAUAUCUCAACAAGUGUCCAGCACCAGUAGCCAUUAGUUUAAUGUCAUUCUCUGCUCUUGUUUCAGUGUGUACCAAUCCCCAGGCCCAGAUGCAGCCUCAGCUCAAAAGCCAUCUGCUGCUCCAUUUUGUUCCCAGAUGUGCCUGGUUUCCUGAUUCAUUUAACGGAAUCUCUUGAGACGUCCGUCUUGGUUCCAAGGACUUUGUAAUGGAAGAGUUGGCGCUGCGGCGGCAGAGGAUUUUGUUUCCUUCUCUCCGUAGCCAUUCUGAGUUUCCAGGAUCCAGAGCGGCUUGGUCACCUUCACUGGCCCCUGCAUGCUCCCUUGGAUGCUCCAGUGGGAGAACAAGUGUGCA